GGUUAGUAGUACAAGUCGUUGACAAUUUAAUAUUCGUUAAACCUUAGAUAUUUUCUUCUCUCUCUACCACGUUGCUGUUUCCAUAGUGUUCCAUGCCUUUUCCUUAACUCCAUAACCUGUUUGAAUUAGAAUGCUGAUUAUGAUUAUUCUUAUUCCCCUUCUAAUUAAGUUCUAAUCUAUGAAUCAUUCUUAAUUCUAACUUAAUAACCCUUUGGUUUCUUUUCCCCUUCACUUCUCCUCCUUAUUGUGUGGACAGGAUGUACUUAGUAAGAGAUCGAGGAAGCAAAUAACAUACACAGAUCUGGUCUUUUAUUUUCACUAUAGAAAAGAUGCAUGAUGAACUGGAGUAUUUUCUUCAGCUUGGCUAUGCAGUUGCAAUAAUAACACGAAUCUUACAUUCACAUGUCUUUCUUUUUAUCAUCUAUUAAAGGUAUGGGAUUUUCUAAAACUGUCUCGUAAAAGAGAAACGAAGACUGAUGACCCGUUUUCAAAUGCAUAAUCUCACUAAGUAGUUGGAGAAUUAAGUUAGCUGAAAGAACAACUAUGAAAGAUGUCAUUUGUUUAUAACACAAGUAUAAGGAAUCUUGUAUAGCUAGAACGAUGAUAGAUGCCUUUGAUCACCUGAUAAGCUUUGUGUCGACAUAACCAAGGUAGUCAAAGUCUCAAGUCAACUCAAUUCUACAAUUCUAUGAGAGAAAAAUGAGUUAACUCAAUUUCAAACAUGCUUCAUGGUAGAAUCAUCCUAAAAUGAGUUUUCUACCAUUAUUUUUUUAUAAAAUAUAAGUACUAAUUUUAUGAUGCGAACUCAAACUCUUACAAGUUUACUAGUUAACUCUAUGGAUGCUGUCCAAGUUUAUAUUGAUUAUCAAGUUUGAAACUUUGAUACACACCUAUACGGUUCUCUCUCAUAUAGUAUACUAUGUCUUUGAAAUUAAUGAGUUCAUUACUUGUAGGAUUAGUUUCUUGUCUUCAAAUAUCUCUUAAGAUUAGUUUUCCUAUUUAUGUUCUUUUUUCAUGAUUUGUUUCCCUAAGUGUCUAUUUGGGAGUUUAGAAGAAGAGGAGGGGAAGGGAGGACUUUGGAGAGUUUAUUUUUCUUAAUAAUACAAAAUCCCCCAGUUUGGGAAAACUCAAAAAAUGUGUUUAUAAUCUUAAGCAUUCUCUACAAAAUAACUCUAAAAAAGGUGGAAGAUUUCUCUCUAUUUUCUUCCCCUUCUGUCCCCUCCAAACUCCCAAACAAAGCCUAAGUAAUUAGGAUUUGGAGUCUUGUAUUAAUAUAAAUAAUAGUUAAUGUUUAGUCUUUUUGUAUCAAACCAUAAUCAUCAUUUUAAAAGUAGCAACCAUGUUAUUAUAAUACAAAGUCUUUAAUUUUUUUAAUUCUGAUCCUGUUCUUAUCUAAAAGUAAAACAAACCCUAUAAGUUCAACAUAGUAUCAAAGUAGCAACCAUCCUCUGUGACUUGCAACUUCGCUGUUAUGCUACCAAGUUCCCUAAUGCAUGGAACUCUAUUAUAAUAGUCGUACUCAGAAUCCUUUUUUGGCCUUAUCCUUCACUUUUCAUCAAAUUAAGUUUUUGGUGUUAGUCAGCAUGUAAAGUCCACGUGUCGCCUUCAUACUGCUUGUUAACCAUGCUGCUAGUCAAGUUUUGUUCUUCGUCGUUCUUUCCUUGUUUUAUCAAGGCCACUUUCAUCUCGUGCGUCUAAUUUGAAUAUGGUUUUGCCACUGUUGGUAACUGCAGCAGCAUCUCUACACCAUCUCCUUGAAUCUACCUUUGUUUCUCUGAGAUGACCUAUGGUAUGUUGUGUUUCUUUGAAAAUGUUGGUUUUGUCUCAGUAACUCAGUUGUGGUUUAGCACUGGUUUUUUCUCGGUUGAGGUUUGACAUUUGUUUCGUCCUGGUGGUUUUGUCUUAAUUGUACUUUGACACAUUUUUGUCUCAACUGUGGUUUAAUCCCAACUUCUAUCCCAAUUGCAAUUUGGGUUUGAUUCUUUUUCCGGAUGCAAUUAUAUCAUUUGUUUAUUUUUUUCUCUUUUGUAAAGUAUGUAACAAGCUUAGGAAACUUGAGUUGAAGUGUUAAAAGAUAGAAAUAUAUCUUGGAUUAUCUCGUAAGAUAAAGUUUCUUGCAUUAGAGGAGUAGGACCUUUGAAUAUCUCUUAAGAGUAGUUUCCUUAGUUCUUUUUUUGUCAUUGAUUUGUUCUUAUAAUAUGUAAAUGUUGGGCCUGUCUUGAGAUUUUUUUGUUGUCAACUGAAAAAUGAAAGUAUGAAACUAAAUAAAUCAAUGUGUAGACUAAUCCAAAACUAAGACGAGAAUAAUUGUUACGCCUGAUGUAUGACUUCUGGAGAGCUAAGGGGUCGUGUACUCAACUUCUGUCUCUAACAACUAAUAACUAAUAUUUGCCAUUUAAAGAAAUGGUUAUACCCAAGGUAUCUUCAUUAACUAAAGAAUAGCAGUUACAAAUGUAUAAAUGUAUAAUCAUCACCCAACUGGUUCUAAUGACCAAAAUAUUUAACAUGACACCCCCCUCAAAUUGAUGCUGGCUAGUCUACAAACAUCAAUAUGCCAAAUAGGAAAUUGUGGAUUUGAUGUACCAUGUAUUUGGUGAAGAUGUGCCAAGAAUGCAGAUUUGACUAUCAUGACUUUUGCUCCGGAUGCCAAGAGGACCACUUUCCGUAUCAUAUUAAGUGCCAUUUAAUGUUAUGCACACUUCUUAAGGAAAGUAUUCCAUGUACUAAUUAAAAUGAGCUUUAUUGACUUAUAUGCUCUCAUUAGUAAAGUUAGUGGAGUAGUUAGGUAAGUUGAGAUACAACAACAAGAGUAUCUGUGGAGAAACAAAUAUUUCUAACACGAUGCUUAAUAUGAGACGGAUAGACUACUAUGCAAAUAAUUCAUGCCCUUGCUGCAUCCCUCUCUUGGUCAUUACAUCCAAUGGAUGUAAAAUUUGCAUUCCUCCAUGGUGACCUCAAGAGUAGCAAAAACACUGAUACCAGAAAACUUUGGCCAAAUACUUGUUCUCCAGCCAAAGAUUUCUCAUAUAAAUAGUGUUUAAUUACAAUCUGACAAACUGGUUUUGGCCCAAUAAAUUAGCUAAUUGCCAUAUAUACACAUUUAUCCUAAUUAAGAAGAAAUAACAAUUAAACCUACAACUGAGGUAUCCUAAUUAAGAAGAGAAUAUAAAUUACUACCUCUGUCUCUAAAUAUAUGUCCCCCCUUUGAAUGAUUUCUUUACUAACAUUUAAUUUACAUUAUUUUCUGCAACCAACAAUAAAUACUAUGGUGGGAACAAUAACUAAUUCUCUCUUAAAGGGUAAACUUGUAAAAAUAGUGUCAAUUGCUAACAAAUUUAAUACUAUUACGGUAUUACCAACUUUCUUAAUUCUGGUGAUUUAGUGAAUGAGGUCGUAUAUUUAGAGAUGGCAGUCAUACAAAGGUAUAUGAAUGUCGAUGCUUGAAGAUAUAGCUCAUAUAGAGAAUUGUCAAAUAGCUGAUUUGGGCUUGUGACAGCAAUUGGGUAUCAACUUGUUCAAACUAUUUUGAAAAUUAUUACUGAUUCUGUUGAGUUUCAAGAGGCUUGCUUGUCUUGUAUUCUUUCCUUUCUUGAUAAUAUAUUUGUUAUGAAAAAGAGAUUUGUAAAAUUUUAGGGCCUGAUUGAUUUGUGCAUUUUUUUUUUUGUGCUUUCAUUUCCUAUUUUCAGUUUUAUUUCCAAAACUAGCACCAUCACACAAUGUUUUAGCUUUGUUUCUUGUUUUCAAUAUUUUGUAAUAUAUAGUCAUUUUCUAUUCAUUGAUAAAAAAUUAUGAUAUGACAUCUCACCCCUUUAAAGGAAACAGUGAAAACAAUUUUCACUUAUAUUUACAAUUUUGUUUUCUUCAUUUCCUAUACAAAUAUUUGAAAGUUGGAAACAAAGUAUAAAUGGUGUCUGUAUCGCAAAUAAAAGCAAUAACAGAAAAUGAAAUAAUUUUUUUGAAACCAAAUAGACGCUGCAAUGUUUUAGAUUUACCCAAAUCUGCCUUUACUCCCCAAGUUCUGCUUUCUAUCAUUUCAUUUUCUUGCCACAUGGUUUUUAGCAAACAGAACAGUUGAGAUCGUAGGCAGGACAGGAGGGCCAGUGAACUGGUUUGGUAAAAAUCCGCGUCAAGAUGAAGCAGAAGGCUGAUGGGAGUUUUGUCAGGUACGGAAGCAAAACCCAUCUCUCACUAGUAUAAAAUUUAAUAUCAUACAUAAUCAAUGUAGAUGGCUGAGUUCAGUUUGACCCAUGGUCAGACUUUACUGCUUUUCCAUGCCCGCUUGUUGGUGGUUUGUUUUACUAAAUAUACUCUCAUUAGAUCCCUCCUGCCAAUUAAUCAUGCAAUCAGAAGUUUUUGCACGAUUAUAGCUGUUGCUCUUGAACGUUGAAGUAGUAUACUUUAAUACAAAAUUUAAAAUCAUUCUAUAAACAUCAAUGUCCUUUUCAUGCAUGUAAUGUUGAUAGCUUAGUGUAACUAGGAAUAACUUGUGUUUAAAGCACUUGCAACCCUAAAAUUACCAAGUUUUAAAAAUAGACAGUAAUGAUUUGAAUAUUCAUGUCACCUAUGAAAAUAUUUGACCUGAAAAAUCAAUAACCUAUUUCUGCUCUGUACAUGAGAUGUCUAGUACUUGUACAGGCAGAAAUUUUUGUACUUUAGGAUUUUGGUUUGACAAUUUAUUGGUAACACAGAUUGACUCAUAACAAUUUGGGUUUUACUCAUAUUAUAAGCUUCCUUUUGGAAGAUCUUUUAUUUUGCUUUCACCCGCAUGACCUUGCUUUUUCUGUUGAAUUUCAUAUGUAUAGUAAUCCAAGGUUGACCCAUGAGAGUAUAGGCCUAGAUUGCACACCUGAUGCAUCUACAAUAGCAACUUUAUCGUUAUUAUUGGCAAUUUCAUACUAAUUUUAUGUGUAAAUAUUGUGUAAAAAAAUAAGGGCUAUAACAGGUCUUACCACUAUCUCUUCAGUUGUAUUGUUUAUACUGUGAUUGUUUUAACCAUCUGAUGUGAUACUGCUGAUUGUAUCGCUUUUCAGAAGGUAAAUGUCUUCAUUUACUGGCCUAUACUGUUGCCCUUGUGGCACUUCUGCAGGGUUUUGGUGAGAUCAUGGGGCUUGUCCCACUUGAUAUAGGGUUUAGGGAAAAUAGGAAAAAUUAAACACGUAACCUUUGAUGUUAAAUGCUUGUAAAAUGUUGUAACUUUGCUUGGGCAUAAGUAAGUGCUAUCAGCCAUAGCCAUUUCCUCCGAAUUAUUUUAGUUUGUAUCUCAAUUUUUUGAAUACGGUUGCAAUUCAUUUAAUUCUUAUAGUCAUACUGUCAGUGAUGUCACCAAUCAGCUGAAUUCUCUGCCAAAUGGAAUGAGGAUUUCCUGGAAGACUCAGGAAUGAUUUUUCCUACACCACUAUUGGCUGUGUACGAAUCUGUAGGAACGGAAUAGCAGUUCCCUCAUUAUUGUUGGCAAUUCUUCUGUAUAGUUUAUUGUAAAGAAUCAUAAGACAUGCUUAUCACUUGAGAGAAAUAGAAUAAUUACUGUGACUGUAUGAGCGUCACAGUUUCCAUUCCGUCGCCAAUUACAUCUUACAGGCACAGGUAGUGGUGUUCCAAAUUCCAUCUAAUUGGUCAUAAGAGAUGCAGAAAUUAUAUAAAACAACACCAAUCACAAUUAUGGAUAUCUUUAUUGCAUAAAAUUUACAGCGGUAGUCAUUAUGUCUGAUCCUUAACAGCAAUUGUAAGCUUCUUGAUAGACAAUCUCACACCCUAUUAUGUUGAAUUGGAAAAUGUGGUUGUUGAACUACAUGGUCCCACAGAUAGCAGCAUGAUGAUAUGUUUGAACUGGUUCAUGACAGCUUGUCAGAAAUGAAAGCAUAGGGGAUUAUCAAACAGUUCUUGCUAAUGCAGCUGUAAUCUGGUACAGAAUUUAGGUGUUUAGUUUCUGAAUAAAUUAGAAAGAAAAGGUGUAAACUGGAGCUAUAUGCUGUACAUUAUCAGUUUGAGGGAAUACCCUAAUUUCACGGCUUUGGUUGCUGGUUCACUGUAUUGAGGCUGUGGCUGGCUUAGCUGGAGACUGAUAGGUGCAUGUAAAUCAUAUCCAUUUCUGAUUGUGCAUGAAAGAUUGGAUGCUACAUUUUCUUCAUUUGUAUUCCUUGCUUCAUAAACCUAAGAUCCAAAUCUUCUGUUUAGAUUAAGAACAAGUAAAUGGAAGCCUUUUAACUGCUAGAGAAAUAGUAGUAUUUGGCCUAAUGGAGAGUAAGUUCUACUUUAUAUGGUUGUGUCUGUGUGUGUUCAGUAUUGUUCAUUAUGCAUGCCUUACGUUGUUCAGGAUGUGCAUGUAUUUAUCAGAAAAUGAUUAACAUAUUCUUAAAUUAUUGUCUGUUUUUCUUUUUUAUCA